CGACUAAACUCUGCUUUACUCAACCUUUCAGUACAUAUUAUCUUGUUGAUGCUACUGGUUGUAUACAAUGUACAGCAUUUAGUGUCUUUUAAACAUUUUAUAGGGACUUUUCAACUUUUUAUAGCUAACCUUUUUAUAUCUCAACUGAUGGCUUAUAAUGUUUCUUCUGUGUUUGUAGUUGUGCUGAGUGGAUACUAAAAUGAAAGCCGCCAUCUCACGGUUCAUGAUGAUAACCCCUCCAUGGGUUGAAUUCCACCAGAGGGCACCAUGGGCCCCUGAGACUGAAGAGACACAAGUCGGCUAGUGUAGCUACCAAAGGUGUGCCAAGUUGGUGUCAGCUGCACAACAUCUAGAAAAGAUGAUGCAGAUUCACAUUGCUGGAGACCCAGUUCUUGUAAUUGGAGGAUCAGUUAAAGGGGUGUGUCCAACAUCACUCAAUGCCACAUGAGGAUAUGUAAAACCUAGCUGUUGGAAGAUUCUCAUUGCAAUGUGUUGAGUCUGCAAAUUCCCUUAAUGGGAUUGUGAUGGUCAUGCACAGGAUGUCUCAAAGGCAUGGUAAGAACGCAAAUAUGGCUAUUGAAUGCAUUCUAGACUCUGAUGACUGUGUAGCAUGUACUUAUUUUGUAGUAAUGCUUACAAAAUAUAGAUUAGUCUCUGGAUUGCCUAGCUUCUGUAAACUUGCUCAGCUUUGCCUCUGAAGUUCCUCCUGUGCAAUAAAUUGUUAUAUUAAAGCUUUUAGUAUCAAUUUGUCUACAAUUUCUGCAUAUAGAGUAUGGAUCUUAAAAUCUUUUAUCUCUGUAGACUGACCAUGUGAUG